CCCUUCUUAGCUCAGUUGGAAGAGCGUCAGACUGUAAUUGGAUAAAAAUCGCGAUCUGAAUGUCGCCUGUUCGAACCAGGCAGAAGGGA
rfam:Schizophyllum commune H4-8 unplaced genomic scaffold SCHCOscaffold_7, whole genome shotgun sequence.